GUAGUCCCCAGGCCUGCUCGGGCCCACCUCGUCGGAGACGAGCAGGAACCGCCUCCUCUUCUUUGCAUAUCGGCGAAGUGUAGUUCUCAAGAGCAUUGUGGGGCCGGUUGCUGCCCGAAUCUCUCUAGGGAAUGGGACCGAGUUGGGGACCCAGACUCCCUGGCCUUCAUGGCCACAGUCCUGUCGCCGCCCCACCAAAAGCCAAUCUCUAAGUAUCCCAGAGUCCCGGGGCCAGAGUGGGAUGGGAGUGCGGGAUCGGAAGUUCCAUUUUUCAGAUGGGAAAAGUGAGGCUCAGAGAAAGGUAGAUCCCAUUCCGAGUCAGUGGUGAAGCCGACACGGAAACCGGGUGCCCUACUUAGUCUGAAUCUGGAACGAUGAAGGUGAUGAUUGUGCCUGUGGCCAAGACCGGGAGAACCCUGGAUCCCUACACCUUCCCCACCCCUGGAAUGUCACUAUACAUAUCUGACUUCUUCUGAUGUUGCCUUUGACCCUAAAGUCAAUAUGAUAAAGUAACAAGAAGCUGGGACAGAGGAACAAACACAGCCCACUCAAGCAGUGGUGGCAACAUUCUGUUAGAAAGGAGGGGAGUCAAAGAAAAAAACACCCCUCCGCCCAUCUCCUUAUCACCUCCCUAAAGACAGAGGAGAACAUGGACACCCUCCAUCCUGAUAGACAUGCCAUGUGGUCAGUUUGUGCGGU
rnacentral:lncRNA from 10 species